AGUGAGUCUCCCUAAUGAGGCAACACAGCAUGAAAACACUGCAAGCACAUGGCACAGGACAGGACGAGAGCCCUUGCCAACCAAAUGCAGUACCCCGGAAGGCUGCCCACAGCUCCCGGAAGCAGGGCAUGCAUGCCAGCUCAACAAUGUGGCCGCACUACUCCAGACAACAGAAUAACAACAGCAGAUACACCACCCCGAAGCUAAUACACACGAUCUGGCCUGGACUGAGAAUUACAUCAGAAUUUAACGUCCUGAGACCUGAGUUGAGUAUUACAUCAUCUACUUGA
rnacentral:lncRNA from 1 species